rnacentral:rRNA from 1 species
GGGAGCAAACAGGAUUAGAUACCUGGUAGUCCACGCCGUAAACGAUGAGUGCUAAGUGUUAGGGGGUUCCGCCCUUUAGUGCUGCAGCUAACGCAUUAAGCACUCCGCGUGGGGAGUACGACCGCAAGGUUGAAACUCAAAGGAAUUGACGGGGGCCCGCACAGCGGUGGAGCAUGUGGUUUAAUUCGAAGCAACGCGAAGAACCUUACCAGGUCUUGACAUCCUUUGACCACUCUAGAGAUAGAGUUUUCCCUUCGGGGACAAAGUGACAGGUGGUGCAUGGUUGUCGUCAGCUCGUGUCGUGAGAUGUUGGGUUAAGUCCCGCAACGAGCGCAACCCUUAUUGUUAGUUGCCAUCAUUAAGUUGGGCACUCUAGCGAGACUGCCGGUGACAAACCGGAGGAAGGUGGGGAUGACGUCAAAUCAUCAUGCCCCUUAUGACCUGGGCUACACACGUGCUACAAUGGACAGUACAAUGAGCAGCGACACGGCGACGUGAAGCGAAUCUCAUAAAGCUGUUCUCAGUUCGGAUUGUAGGCUGCAACUCGCCUACAUGAAGCCGGAAUCGCUAGUAAUCGCGGAUCAGCACGCCGCGGUGAAUACGUUCCCGGGCCUUGUACACACCGCCCGUCACACCACGAAAGUUUGUAACACCCGAAGUCGGUGAGGUAACCGCAAGGAGCCAACCGCCUAAGGUGGGAUAGAUGAUUGGGGUGAAGUCGUAACAAGGUAACCAAGGGCGAAUUCCAG